AGAAAAACCUUGUUUCUGGAGGGUCGCAAACUCUCGUCGAAGUUGUGGAGGAAUUCUGCAGGAGCCAAGGAGGUAAAGAUAACCUGGCCUGCAAGGGAGGCGUGGAGGUGUCAAGAAAGUGCAAUAACAAGAGGUCUGUCGGCUGGCAGACUUAAAAACCUUCUGCAGCGAAGCGGAGUCAUGGAAAUAACCCUCAAGAGCAGGCACCAGGAAGGCAGUAGACGAGCGGCUGAGAUACCGGGAGACCUUUUCCUAUCGGAGACCUGGACCACAACCCAGUGCCCAACUACAGCUCCGUCCUGCCUCCCAACAGCCGGCUGUCGCGGUGUCUCUGAGGAGGCUCAUCCCCUCUCGUAGGGGAUGUGAAGAGGGACUGAAUUGCCCCGAUUUCUCUGCUGCCUUGGCUAUUUCUACACAGCCCAGCAGUUUGCCAGGGAAGCGCGUGG